GUGCCAGCAGCCGCGGUAAUUAGAUACCCGCGUAGUCCGGAUUUAUUGGGCGUAAAGCGAGCGCAGGCGGUUAGAUAAGUCUGAAGUUAAAGGCUGUGGCUUAACCAUAGUACGCUUUGGAAACUGUUUAACUUGAGUGCAAGAGGGGAGAGUGGAAUUCCAUGUGUAGCGGUGAAAUGCGUAGAUAUAUGGAGGAACACCGGUGGCGAAAGCGGCUCUCUGGCUUGUAACUGACGCUGAGGCUCGAAAG
rnacentral:rRNA from 1 species